GAUGAACGCUAGCGGCAGGCUUAAUACAUGCAAGUCGAGGGGCAGCGCGGGUAGCAAUACCUGGCGGCGACCGGCGCACGGGUGCGUAACGCGUAUGUAAUCUACCUUUAACCGGGGAAUAGCCCAGAGAAAUCUGGAUUAAUGCCCUAUAGUAUUAUUGGAAGGCAUCUUUCGAUAAUUAAAGCUCCGGCGGUUUUAGAUGAACAUGCGUGUCAUUAGUUAGUUGGCGAGGUAACGGCUCACCAAGACUACGAUGACUAGGGGGUCUGAGAGGAUGAUCCCCCACACUGGUACUGAGACACGGACCAGACUCCUACGGGAGGCAGCAGUAAGGAAUAUUGGGCAAUGGAGGCAACUCUGACCCAGCCAUGCCGCGUGAAGGAUGACGGCCCUCGUGGUUGUAAACUUCUUUUGUACGGGAAUAACCCUCGAACGUGUUCGGAGCUGAAGGUACCGUAAGAAUAAGGAUCGGCUAACUCCGUGCCAGCAGCCGCGGUAAU
rnacentral:rRNA from 1 species